GCGGAUUUCAUCAUCAACUUGGGCCAAAAAUCACAAGUACCGAUCAUCUCUUUCUCUGCGACGAGUCCAUCAAUUUCAUCAGCCCGGAAUCAGUAUUUUGUUCGUACAACUCAUAACGAUUCAUCUCAAGUGAAACCUAUCAGUUCAAUAAUCCAAUCAUUCGGAUGGCGACAAAUUGUACCAAUUUACAUCGAAAAUCAAUUCGGAGAAGGAAUAAUUUCAUUUCUAGCAGAUGCAUUGGAAGAAAUCAACACUCGUAUACCUUAUCGGAGUGUAAUUUCUGAAUUCGCCACUUCAGAUCAGAUCAGAUCUGAGCUAUUGAAGUUGAUGAAUAUGCAGACUAGGGUUUUUAUUGUGCAUAUGCCGAUUUCACUUGGAUCGAAGCUUUUUGCAACGGCGAAAGAAAUUGGUAUGAUGAGUGAAGGUUUUGUUUGGAUUGUUACAGAUGCAAUGGCGAAUCAACUGAAUUCGAUGAAUGUUUCGGUUAUUGAAUCUAUGGAAGGUGUUAUUGGGGUGAAACCUUAUGCACCGAAGAGUAAAAAAGUUGAAGAUUUUACUCAGAGAUGGAAGAUGAAGUUUCGAAAGGAAAAUCCGACGAUGGUUGAUGUGGAAUUGGAUAUCUAUGGAUUAUGGGCUUAUGAUUCUGCAACUGCAUUAGCCAUGGCGGUAGAGAAAUCGAGAAUCAAUGGCGCCUUUUUUCGAAAACCAAAUGUUUCAGGUACGAGUGACAAAUUGACGGAUUGGGUUAAAUUUGAACGUUCAAAAGGUUCAUAUGAUCCGAUUUGGUUAUAUUGGAUUGAAUCAAAAUAUAUCAAAUAACCGGUUAUAAUUAAACAUGAUUCGUAGUGUGUUUGACUAAGCUUUUGCUAGACAAAAGUUAUUUUCUUAAAGAAAAAAAUAUAAUAUAUAUAAACAUGAUUCUUAACUUGGCUCUAAGGGGGUAAUUAUGACAUUUAAUUUUAGAUGUGUUCAAGUAAACGUUUAAAUUUGUAUAAAAUUAAACAAAUAGACACAUAUGACAAUUUUGUUUCCUACGUGACAUCCUAUUUGUACUAUGUCAUAUAGAAAACAUGUGUCUACUUAUUUAAUUUUAUAUAAGUUUAAUUGCUUAUUUGUGCACACUUAAAGUUGAAAGACACUGAAGCGAAGUAAAUGAUCAUGUUUAUGAAUAUACCUAAGAAGAAAGUGUUUAUUUUAAAACGUAAAGGGUUUGAUUAAGUUUUUAAAGAAAGCAAGUGUUUGUGGAAAAUAGCCAAAAUUAUUUUUUUAGAAGCGAAAAUAAAUAACUUUUUCCUACUUUUUAACUAACAUUUGAAAAAAUAUACAUAGAAACAUGGCCGAACACUAAUUAUUUUGCUUUAAAAAUAUGAUAUCUAUUGCUCGUGAGAGAUAAUAAAUAUCUUGUUAGUCGAUGUAUGCUAAAUUUGUUCCAGACACCAUGAUCAUGAAAAAACUUGGCCGAAAACUAAUUAUUGUCCAUUUAAAAUUAGUCGAUCAAACACAAACUAGUUUUGUACACAUAAGCUAACUUUAAAAGUUUGGCCAAACAAACUAUCAAUGUCACCUCCUUCUUUAUUUUGCUUUUUUUAUGAAAUAUGUUGGAAGUAUAUUUCACUUUACUACCUAAAUCUUCAAAAUUGAUUCAUGUAUAUUUGAGUUUGUUUUGUAAUGCAACCAGUUUAAACUUGGACAAAUUCAACUGGUGAGCUAUGUUGCUCAGACUCUUCAAAAAUGUCAUAAAAUACGUGUCAACUUUUUCAAAAGUAGUGUAUUUUUGAAGAAUCCAACAUGCAUGCAGCAACAUUUUUGGAGACCCCGAGCAACUCAGUAGUGAAAUAAGUUUAUUUUUUGACACCUCUAAAAAAAAUUUCAGGAAAUGCAACAGAUCUUGAAGCUUUUGGAGUUUCCAGAGAUGGUCCAAAGCUUCUUAAAGCUAUACUAAACACUACUUUCAAAGGCCUUAGCGGAGACUUUCAACUUGUGGAUGGACAAUUGCAAUCUCCACCUUAUCAGAUCAUCAAUUUAAUUGGUAAUGGUGUUAAAGAAAUUGGAUUCUGGACAAGAGAACAUGGCAUUGUUAGAAAACUGAAUUCAAGACGAGGAUAUUCUGUUUCUAAGGAUAAUUUUCGAUCAAUUAUAUGGCCUGGUGACACUACUUCUGUUCCAAAAGGUUGGGUAAUACCAACAAAUGGCAAAAAACUGAAAAUUGGAGUUCCGGUGAAGGAUGGUUUCACCGAGUUUGUUAAAGUUACAAGAGAUGUUACUACUAACACAACGAUAGUUACUGGAUACUGCAUCGAUGUUUUCGAUGCAGUGAUGGAAGCAUUACCAUAUUAUGUUCCUUAUGAAUAUGUUCCAUUUGCUGCUCCUAAUGGAAAGAGUGCCGGUGAUUAUAAUGAACUGGUUUAUCAAGUAUUUCUUGGGGUACAUUCUCUCUGACUCCUCUACUAUCGACUUUUAAGUUAUAUAUACUGACAGUAUGAUUCUUACAUGCUACAAAGAUUAACCGAUGAACAGAACUUUGAUGUUGUUGUAGGGGACACUACCAUUGUCGCGAAUAGGUCACAAUUUGUAGACUUUACAUUACCAUACACGGAGUCUGGAGUUACGAUGAUGGUGCCAAUCAAAGAUGAUAAUAGAGAUAAUACAUGGGUAUUUUUGAAGCCAUUGACUUGGGAGCUCUGGUUAACAAGUUUCUGUUCUUUUGUUUUCAUUGGCUUUGUCAUUUGGCUACUCGAACAUAGAGUAAAUGAAGACUUUAGAGGACCUUUUUGGCAUCAAGUUGGCAUGAUCUUUUGGUUCUCCUUCUCAACUAUGGUCUUUGCACAGAGUAAUUUCCCUUUCCUUCUCUUAAAUUAGUAUCAAAUGUUAUCAAAGGCAAGUUAAAUCCGAGGGUCAAAAUUUGUUUGAGUGCUCUGCCUCACUUAAUGUGCACUUCAGUAUCGUCAUCAAGGUUUUAAUGCAUACUUUUCUUUGCAUAAUCAAUCACUUUUGAAGAUACGACACUAAGCAAUUGAUAUUUCACGUUAUCAUAGAAAAGUUGACAUUCAUGUUUAUAAGUUGUAACCAUUAAAAAGAAAAUGCACAAGUAUCCCCAUCAACCUAUGCCCGAAAUCCCAGAAGGUCGUAUUAGCCCCUGAACUUAUUUUAUAAGUAAUCUUUUACCCCUUUUCGACCUACGUAGCACUAGCUUGAAAAAAAAAAGUCAACCAGCAUUGGACCCACAAUAUAGUGCCACGUAGGCCCAAAAAAGGGUUGAAUGGUUGAAUAUUAUUAAUAAAAUAAGUUCAGAAGUAAUAGGACCUUAGUAUAGUAUAAGUGUGACUCUUAGAUUUCGGACAUAAGUUGAGAAGGUACUUAUGCAUUAUCCCCCGUUUAAGAGGGAGCAUACACAUACACACUCUUCAAUUUGAAUCACCUUUUGUUACUUCUACAUAACAUAUGCUUAAGAGUUCUAACCUGAAAUGUCUUCUUUUUGAUUCUUGAUAUCGACAGAGGAGAGGAUCGUCAGCAAUUUGGCGAGGUUCGUGUUGAUCAUCUGGUUCCUAGUGUUGCUCAUAUUGACAUCAAGCUAUACAGCAAGUCUUACAUCAAUG
rnacentral:lncRNA from 1 species